UAUAGGUAUUGUAGGUGAUCCUGUAAAUGUCUGGAUAGUAGGAUCAUCUAUAGUCAAGCACGCUUUUGUGACAGCUCGUGAUCGGCCAGGUGGGGUAAACUUAGGUUUAGGUCGUUUGAAUGCCUCAUUUUGGUGGCAAGGCAAGGGUGGCAUGAUAGUGAGGCAUGUUAAAGCUCAGCUAAGAACAAUGAAAAAAUAUGAGGAUCCACCACAAUUUUUAUUAUUACAUGUAGGGGGUAAUGACUUGGGUAAUUCCAAGGUGGGCUUUUUGCGUAAUGUAAUAAAGGACAUGAUUCGAUGGAUAAUGAAGGAGUUUCCCACCUCUAAGUUGGUAUGGUCUCAAAUUUUGACCAGGUUGAAAUUGCGUUAUUCUAAUGACCACAAAGCAAUGGACUUGUGUCGCUAUAGGAUAAACAACUCUAUUGCAGCCUUUAUAGUUAGCUGUGGGGGUUACUACAUUAAACAUCCAGAUAUUCAUGCAGAUGGGAAAAAAAUCAAUCGGAUGGUGUUCACUUGUCAUCCUUAGAAAAUGAAUUGUGGUUGAACAUAUCACAAGGGGCAAUGUAAC
rnacentral:lncRNA from 1 species